rnacentral:rRNA from 1 species
UGGGGAAUUUUGCGCAAUGGACGAAAGUCUGACGCAGCGACGCCGCGUGCAGGACGAAGGCCCUCGGGUUGUAAACUGCUGUCACGCUCUAGGAAUCCCGUGUUGUGAAUAGCAGCACGGUUGACUAAGGCGAGAGGAAGUGGCGGCUAACUCUGUGCCAGCAGCCGCGGUAAGACAGAGGCCACGAACGUUGUUCGGAAUCACUGGGCAUAAAGCGCACGUAGGCGGCUAGGUCCGUCCGAUGUGAAAGCCCCCGGCUCAACCGGGGAAUAGCAUCGGAUACAGCCUGGCUUGAGGACGGUUGGGGUGAGUGGAACUCCUGGUGGAGCGGUGAAAUGCGUAGAUAUAGGAAGGAACACCAGUGGCGAAGGCGACCACCUGGACUGAUACUGACACUGAGGUGCGAAAGCGUGGGGAGCAAACAGGAUUAGAUACCCCCGUAGUCCCUGAGCGGGCUGGCAAGGCGCAU